UACGUAGGGUUCAAGCGUUGUCCGGAUUUAUUGGGCGUAAAGAGCUCGUAGGCGGUUUGUCGCGUCGGAUGUGAAAACCCAGGGCUCAACCCUGGGCCUGCAUUCGAUACGGGCAAACUAGAGUAUGGCAGGGGAGACUGGAAUUCCUGGUGUAGCGGUGAAAUGCGCAGAUAUCAGGAGGAACACCGGUGGCGAAGGCGGGUCUCUGGGCCAAAACUGACGCUGAGGUGCGACAGCGUGGGGAGCAAACAGG
rnacentral:rRNA from 1 species